GGGUCCUUGCGCUUGCAAGGCAGGCCACCGAACCGCUGAGCUGAAUCCCCGGCCCCUGAACUGUUACUUUGUUACAGAGACUACAGUGCCAACGACUGGAUAAUGGCACUGGCAGACGUGAUAACCACUGCAAGGGCAGCAACCACUCUUUUGCGCACCUACUUUAUAAACACCUGGCACGAACUGAGGUAAGCUAACUGGCCAGGAGGUGGUGCAGGUGACACUGCUGAAGGCCUGGAGGUGCGGCUGUAUGAGGAUUUCUGAUGUCUGAGCAGGGGACAACCAUGAGAGGUCUCCAGGGAGCACCUUCCUAGUAAACCACUGGCACCCAGCGCCUGCUACCUGAGGGAUGCAAGGAGAGCCUGGCAUGCUCCAAAUAUGGGUGAGGCCAGAGGAGGAAAAGUAAAUAAAUUUCAAAACUGGAGGAAUUCUGUGAAAGGAAAGAAAACCCCUGGUGACAAGGCAAACUAAGGUUUUAAAGACUUUUCCUUUUAGAAAUGAAUCCUAUUUUUUAAAAAAAUUAAAAGUAAGUUUUAAGUAAAUAAAUGC